UACGUAGGGUGCGAGCGUUGUCCGGACUUAUUGGGCGUAAAGGGCUCGUAGGCGGUCUGUUGCGUCGGGAGUGAAAACUCAGGGCUUAACCCUGAGCCUGCUUCCGAUACGGGCAGACUAGAGGUAUGCAGGGGAGAACGGAAUUCCUGGUGUAGCGGUGAAAUGCGCAGAUAUCAGGAGGAACACCGGUGGCGAAGGCGGUUCUCUGGGCAUUACCUGACGCUGAGGAGCGAAAGUGUGGGGAGCGAACAGG
rnacentral:rRNA from 1 species